UCUUCCACUCAACGCUGAGCAGAGAGACACGAUGGAAAGAGGCCAGAGCCGCGGCGAAAUCCCAAGCUACUGUGGGUGGUCCAUCUUCACCGCUCUCUGUUGCUGUUGGCCUUUAGGAAUCGUUGCUCUGAUCUUCUCCAGCAAGGUCACAAUGGCCAGUGCUUCUGGACAAUUACAAGAAGCUGCUUCUGCAUCCCGCACCGCCAAAAUACUGAACAUCGUGGGAAUCGUGUGUGGAAUCAUUCUUCUUCUAAUCAUUACUUUCCAGUCUUCCAGACUGGUCUUCAAGAGCCACAACGAUAUUUCAUCCUACUGUGGGUGGUUCAUCUUCACUGGUCUCUGUUGCUGUUGGGCUUUAGGAAUUGCUGCUGUUAUCUGCUACUGCAAGGUGGACAUGGCCAAUGCUUCUAGAGAUUUCCAAGAAGCUGCUGAUGCAUCGAGCACUGCCAAGACCCUGAACAUUAUGGGAAUAAUCUGUGGAAUCAUUAUUCUUUUUGUGUGUGUCUACCAAUUCUGCCAAGGCCAAGAUUUUAUUUUUUCUAUCUAUUAUACACGGGAUUAGUAAAUGAAAUCAUUACUUUCUUCAAAUGAACAUAGCAAAAACUAUAAAAUGCCCGGGGUAUGUGCUGGUCAAAACCAAAUACAUGUAUGCACUGUCAGGUGAAAGGCUGUGUGAAAUUCUCACAUUCAUUGGUUCAGUUUCUGUGUUACAAACAGCAAAUGAUGGAACAUGGAUUUUGUGUAUUAACACUUGACAACAACAACUUAACAAAACAGUUGUAUUUUUUUUUGGGGGGGGGGGGGGUGUGAGUGUCUAAAAAAGGACUUAUGCAGCAGAAUUUUAACAGACACGUUUAUUAAAAAAUAAACCAGAGCUUUAGGUUAGUGAAACACAAUCUGUUACAGUACAUGUGAGGUAAAUACAAGAUUUAAAUGCAACAAAGUACAAGAAAGAAACACGGUGAGGGGGAAACUUUGCAGUACAACACGUCAUGACUGAGCAACAUGAGCAACACACCGUCUCCCACCCCCAGUCUGUAUCCUGUGGUCUGUGGUGUCAUGAAUGUGACCUACUUUGACGGAAACACAUCAUAUACAGCGAAGGAAGAGUGGAAAGUCUUGAUGGGCCUUUUUUCCUUUUUAAUCUAAUUAAUAGUCUAUAAACAACACACGUUCUACCUUGACCAAACAGUUACAGGACACCAGAUAAUCCUGUAGCUACAAUGAAGUUACUACACAAACGAUACAUACCGUACAUAUCAACAAGCUCGGUGUCAGUCAAAAACACGCACAAAGGAUGUUUGUGGUUCUAGCUGUUGCUAUUCUUUCUGAUUCCAGCCAUGGGAAAAUAAAGUUAUGGUCAGGUGACCAUUUCCUUUGCAUACAGAAAGUGAGCCUGUAAUCCUCCUCACUAUCUCACAAAACCUGCUCUGAACCACCGGAAAAACAGAGGGACAGAAAACAGUGAGAGUAAUUGAAAUCGGCUGUAAGAUUUCUGCAACCUGCUGUGUUUUAUUCAUUUCACAGACAAACUUCAGCAGAAAACACAGUGUAACAUACUGUUACAUUAAAGCAGCACCUGAAACCACGCCCAGAACAAACAUCAAGGUUUGGGUCACAGCCUCCGCUGGCUGAUGAAUCGACACACUGCAAACACUGAACUCUCAUCCACUCGACGUCGAGCAGAGAGACACGAUGGAAACAGGCCAGAGCCACGACUAUAUCCCAACCUACCGUGCAUGGUCCAUCUUCACCGCUCUCUGCUGCUGGUUGGCUUUAGGACUUGCUGCUCUGAUCUACUCCAACAAGGUCAAAUCGGCCAGUGCUUCUGGACAAUUACAAAAAGCUGCUUCUGCAUCCCGCACCACCAAAAUACUGAACAUCGUGGGAAUCGUGUGUUUGUUCAUUCUUCUUGCUUUAACCAUUACCUUCAAACUCUUGGAAUUAAAACAGUGAACCAAUAAAGUAUUGAUUCCCAAGCUUUUGUUUUUCUUUCUGUUAUACCUGGGUUAUACCUGGGUCUGUAUGCUCUGUUCUCAAGUCUUUGUAUCAUUACUUUUUUCAGGUCUUUCCUUAGCUUGAAUCAUGAAAUGUCCGUGGUAUGUGCUGGUAAAAAACAAAUACAUGUAUGCACUGUCACAUGACAGGCUGUAUUAAAUGCUCACAUUAUUCUUAUUGUUUUGGAACAUCGAAAAAAGACAUUUAAAAAAAUUUAAUGAAAAAAUGUUAU